rnacentral:tRNA from 1 species
GACCUUGUAGCUCAGACGGUAAAGCAUCGUUCUAGAAAUACGAAGGUCGCGGGUUCGAAUCCCAGCCGCGGUCA